rnacentral:rRNA from 1 species
GAUGAACGCUAGCGGCAGGCUUAACACAUGCAAGUCGAGGGGCAGCACGUCUUCGGAUGGUGGCGACCGGCGCACGGGUGCGUAACGCGUAUAGAACCUACCUUUUACAGGGGAAUAGCCCAGAGAAAUUUGGAUUAAUGCCCCAUAGUAUUAUUAGAUGGCAUCAUUUGAUAAUUAAACAUUUAUGGGUAAAAGAUGGCUAUGCGUUCUAUUAGCUAGAUGGUAAGGUAACGGCUUACCAUGGCGACGAUAGAUAGGGGUCCUGAGAGGGAGAUCCCCCACACUGGUACUGAGACACGGACCAGACUCCUGCGGGAGGCAGCAGUGAGGAAUAUUGGACAAUGGGCGAGAGCCUGAUCCAGCCAUGCCGCGUGCAGGAAGACGGUCCUAUGGAUUGUAAACUGCUUUUANACAGGAAGAAACACUCCCUCGUGAGGGAAUUUGACGGUACUGUAUGAAUAAGCACCGGCUAACUCCGUGCCAG